AUAUAGGAUUUUUUAAAAUCCACAACAUAUGAGUUUCCCCAAUAAUU
rfam:Ophiophagus hannah scaffold3300.1, whole genome shotgun sequence.